AUGAACGCUAGCUACAGGCUUAACACAUGCAAGUCGAGGGGCAGCAUGGUCUUAGCUUGCUAAGGCUGAUGGCGACCGGCGCACGGGUGAGUAACACGUAUCCAACCUGCCGUCUACUCUUGGCCAGCCUUCUGAAAGGAAGAUUAAUCCAGGAUGGCAUCAUGAGUUCACAUGUCCGCAUGAUUAAAGGUAUUUUCCGGUAGACGAUGGGGAUGCGUUCCAUUAGAUAGUAGGCGGGGUAACGGCCCACCUAGUCAACGAUGGAUAGGGGUUCUGAGAGGAAGGUCCCCCACAUUGGAACUGAGACACGGUCCAAACUCCUACGGGAGGCAGCAGUGAGGAAUAUUGGUCAAUGGGCGAUGGCCUGAACCAGCCAAGUAGCGUGAAGGAUGACUGCCCUAUGGGUUGUAAACUUCUUUUAUAAAGGAAUAAAGUCGGGUAUGCAUACCCGUUUGCAUGUACUUUAUGAAUAAGGAUCGGCUAACUCCGUGCCAGCAGCCGCGGUAAUACGGAGGAUCCGAGCGUUAUCCGGAUUUAUUGGGUUUAAAGGGAGCGUAGAUGGAUGUUUAAGUCAGUUGUGAAAGUUUGCGGCUCAACCGUAAAAUUGCAGUUGAUACUGGAUGUCUUGAGUGCAGUUGAGGCAGGCGGAAUUCGUGGUGUAGCGGUGAAAUGCUUAGAUAUCACGAAGAACUCCGAUUGCGAAGGCAGCCUGCUAAGCUGCAACUGACAUUGAGGCUCGAAAGUGUGGGUAUCAAACAGGAUUAGAUACCCUGGUAGUCCACACGGUAAACGAUGAAUACUCGCUGUUUGCGAUAUACGGCAAGCGGCCAAGCGAAAGCGUUAAGUAUUCCACCUGGGGAGUACGCCGGCAACGGUGAAACUCAAAGGAAUUGACGGGGGCCCGCACAAGCGGUGGAGUAUGUGGUUUAAUUCGAAGCAACGCGAAGAACCUUACCAGGCCUUGACAUCCCUUGCAGAGGUAUAGAGAUAUAUCCGAGGUUAUCAAGGAGACAGGUGGUGCAUGGUUGUCGUCAGCUCGUGUCGUGAGAUGUUGGGUUAAGUCCCGCAACGAGCGCAACCCUUAUCCUUUGUUGCCAGCGGUCCGGCCGGGAACUCAAAGGAGACUGCCAGUGAUAAACUGGAGGAAGGUGGGGAUGACGUCAAAUCAGCACGGCCCUUACGUCCGGGGCUACACACGUGUUACAAUGGGGGGUACAGAGGGCCGCUACCACGCGAGUGGAUGCCAAUCCCUAAAACCCCUCUCAGUUCGGACUGGAGUCUGCAACCCGACUCCACGAAGCUGGAUUCGCUAGUAAUCGCGCAUCAGCCACGGCGCGGUGAAUACGUUCCCGGGCCUUGUACACACCGCCCGUCAAGCCAUGGGAGCCGGGGGUACCUGAAGUGCGUAACCGCGAGGAUCGCCCUAGGGUAAAACUGGUGACUGGGGCU
rnacentral:rRNA from 1 species